UACGUAGGGUGCAAGCGUUGUCCGGAAUUAUUGGGCGUAAAGAGCUCGUAGGCGGUUUGUCGCGUCUGCUGUGAAAACCCGAGGCUCAACCUCGGGCCUGCAGUGGGUACGGGCAGACUAGAGUGCGGUAGGGGAGAUUGGAAUUCCUGGUGUAGCGGUGGAAUGCGUAGAUACUGGGAGGAACACCAGUGGCGAAGGCGGCUACCUGGACCGGUUCUGACGCUGAGGCGCGAAAGCGUGGGUAGCAAACAGG
rnacentral:rRNA from 1 species